UUUGGUGUGCAUUGGUCGGCU
rnacentral:siRNA from 1 species